rnacentral:rRNA from 1 species
UACAGAGGUGGCAAGCGUUGUUCGGAAUUACUGGGCGUAAAGGGCGCGUAGGCGGCCUCGCAAGUCCCGUGUGAAAUCCCUCGGCUCAACUGAGGAAUGGCACGGGAAACUGCGGGGCUUGAGUUCGGGAGAGGGAAGCGGAAUUCCGGGUGUAGCGGUGAAAUGCGUAGAUAUCCGGAGGAACACCGGUGGCGAAGGCGGCUUCCUGGACCGAUACUGACGCUGAGGCGCGAAAGCUAGGGGAGCAAACGGGG